rnacentral:rRNA from 1 species
CCUACGGGACGCACCAGUAGGGAAUCUUCGGCAAUGGACGAAAGUCUGACCGAGCAACGCCGCGUGAGUGAAGAAGGUUUUCGGAUCGUAAAACUCUGUUGUUAGAGAAGAACAAGGACGUUAGUAACUGAACGUCCCCUGACGGUAUCUAACCAGAAAGCCGCGGCUAACUACGUGCCAGCAGCCGCGGUAAUACGUAGGUGGCAAGCGUUGCCCGGAUUCAUUGGGCGUAAAGCGAGCGCAGGCGGUUUCUUAAGUCUGAUGUGAAAGCCCCGGCUCAACCGGGGAGGGUCAUUGGAAACUGGGAGACUUGAGUGCAGAAGAGGAGAGUGGAAUUCCAUGUGUAGCGGUGAAAUGCGUAGAUAUAUGGAGGAUCACCAGUGGCGAAGGCGGCUCUCUGGUCUGUAACUGACGCUGAGGCUCGAAAGCGUGGGGAGCAAACAGGAUUAGAUACCCUUGUAGUC